UACGUAGGGUGCAAGCGUUGUCCGGAAUUAUUGGGCGUAAAGCGCGUGUAGGCGGCCAUGUAGGUCUGACGUGAAAUUCCGAGGCUCAACCUCGGCAGGUCGUUGGAAACCAUAUGGCUAGAGUCCGGAAGAGGAGAGUGGAAUUCCUGGUGUAGCGGUGAAAUGCGCAGAUAUCAGGAAGAACACCGAUGGCGAAGGCAGCUCUCUGGGACGGUACUGACGCUGAGACGCGAAAGCGUGGGGAGCGAACAGG
rnacentral:rRNA from 1 species